UUUUUUUUUUUUUUUUUUAACUACCAUAUGGCACUCUGCUCUUUUUUCUUCUGUGGGAGCUAUAAAAGAUAU